GCGUGGGCGGUCCGGCCAAGGACCUGGUCCUCACCACGGACUACACGCGUACCGGCUGAGCGUCCAGGCGCAGGUUCCAGCGCCCGCCCCGGCCC
rnacentral:tRNA from 1 species